CAAAGGCUUGGUCCUGACUUUUCUAUCAAUUCUAACUAGACUUACACAUGCAAGUAUCCGCACCCCAGUGAAGAUGCCCACAGUUCCCCGCCCGGGAACAAGGAGCUGGUAUCAGGCACACCCUAGGUAGCCCAUGACACCUUGCUUUAGCCACACCCCCACGGGGAAUUCCAGCAGUGAUAGACAUUAAGCCAUAAGCGAAAGCUUGACUUAGUUAAAGUUAAAUCAGGGCCGGUAAAUCUCGUGCCAGCCACCGCGGUUAAACGGGAGGCUCAAGUUGAUAGACACCGGCGUAAAGCGUGGUUAAGGGCCCAACUUUUACACUAAAGCCGAACGCUAUCAGAGCAGUGAUACGCACCGAAAGUAAGAAGAUCAAUUACGAAAGUAGCUUUAUUUAAACCUGACCCCACGAAAGCUAAGGCACAAACUGGGAUUAGAUACCCCACUAUGCUUAGCCUUAAACAUAGACAGUUGCUUAUUCCCACUGUCCGCCAGGGUACUACGAGCAUUAGCUUGAAACCCAAAGGACUUGGCGGUGCUUUAGACCCAC
rnacentral:rRNA from 1 species